rfam:Cupriavidus sp. TYMMa02A contig.96, whole genome shotgun sequence.
GGAAGAAGGCCUUCCGGAGUCGGCUUGCAGGAGUCGACUUCAAACCGCCCGGUGCCGCUGCGUUCAAAAGGCAUGGUGGUGAGCGACUGUGGAAAGUCACCCACUGAGGGUGGCAGGU